rnacentral:lncRNA from 1 species
UCCUGAAGGAUAUAGGAGACCUUUGUAUGUAUAUAGGAAGGAGAAAAAGAGCCUGUAGACAGAAAAACAAAAUAGGGCUGAGAGGUUCCUUGGGGUGAGUUGGGGGACUAUUUUAUUUAAAAAAUAUUUUUAAUGCCAGAAAAUUCAGCUGGCCAUUACGUGUGGACAUUGAUUUUGUAAUGUAGGGUCACAUAUGCUAUAAUUAGUGUCCAGAGCUUCUCAUUUCACAAACACAUUGCCUGACCCCUGAAGCCAUGGAAUGGGGAAACACUUAGAAAACAUUCAGUGUCAUAGUUCACAAUACACAUUAUGGGAGAUCUUUCCUUGAAGAUUCUAGGAGGAAGAAAAUAGAAUUGAAGAAAGACCUAUGGCUAGGUGCCUAGAACAGUAGAGGGACAGGAAACAUUUUGACUAGGAACUCUGGCACUUGUGGUAAAUUUAUUUGAGCAGAAAUCUGGAAGGAGGAGGGAAGAGAGUUUAAGAUAUGAUAACAUCUAUACAAGAUUGAGAAAAUCAGAGGUGUAUGAUGGUACUGCAGAGCUGAGAGCCCAGAGUGUUUAAAGGAGGGAUGGUUUGAGAGGUUGAGAAGAAUCAUAGGAUCAUUGAUUUUUGCUCUAGAUGGGACUUUUGAAGUUAUUGAGUCCAAAACUCUCAUUUUAGAAAUGGAACAACUGAGGCCGAGAGUCAUACAGCUAAGUGUUUUUGAAAGAAUUUGAAUCCAGGACUUCCUGACUUUAAUUGCAACUCCAUUUAUCAAGCCACAUUGCCUCAAGAAGAUUGUAAGCCAGGGAAAAGGAAAAGAACAUGAAGUUCUCUCUGUGUUCCUUGCAGAAGAGGGGACAUUCUCUCUGGUAAAGAGCAGCUGUGGAAGUUUUGAAAUACCAUGAGAAAAAUCACUCCAGCAUUCUAGGUUGUGAAGAAGCAGGAAUCCCUCAAUGAUUCAACAGAUAAAUGUCCUAGCCUUAAAAAAAUUACAGCCACAUCUGACAGAAAUUAAAAACCAUACUUAAAUGGAAUUGCAUAGCAGUGACUUUAGAAUUUGGGACAUCCAUCAAAGUCAUUACAAGUUCAACUGAGAAGCUCAGAGCCCUAAGAAAAAUAGUAAUCAAAUACCCUUUGGAUAUUCAACCUAUAAUGUGGCUGGGAGAAGGCAGAGGGAGCUUCAAGAAAGCAGCCUCUUGAGAAGACUUCUUCUAAUGUACUGUAAUCUCCAUCUUGGAAAGCCAUGAUUUCAUCUUUAUCUUCCUGCCAUGAGAUGGUAACCGGAAGAGGUCUCUUCCUUCAAAAGGUCUGAAAUUCAUGACCUCAACUGAAUUUUUCCAGAUGACCACUGUCAAGAGGAGAAAUCCAAUCUUUUGCUUGACUUGAUAAAAGACAUUUACCCUAAAUGAGUUGUUCUUAUAAUAUAAUUCUGCUGCAAAAGUGUCUGCUCACUUAAAAAUAAAUUCUUAUUUGUGAUUUCCAA